rnacentral:rRNA from 1 species
AUACGUAGGGGGCGAGCGUUGUCCGGAUUUACUGGGCGUAAAGGGUGAGUAGGCGGUAAUGUAAGUCAGAUGUAAAAGGCACAGGCUUAACUUGUGUAAGCAUUUGAAACUGCAUAACUUGAGUGCAGGAGAGGUAAGCGGAAUUCCUAGUGUAGCGGUGAAAUGCGUAGAUAUUAGGAGGAACACCAGUGGCGAAGGCGGCUUACUGGACUGUAACUGACGCUGAGUCACGAAAGCGUGGGUAGCAAACAGGAUUAGAUACCCUGGUAGUCCACGCCGUAAACGAUGAGUGCUAGGUGUUGGGUAGCGAUAUUCAGUGCCGAAGUAAACACAAUAAGCACUCCGCCUGGGGAGUACGGUCGCAAGACUGAA